AUCGACAGCCAUGCCACCCUGAGCGUGCCUGAUCUUGUCUGAUUUCGGAAGCUAAGCAGGGUCGGGCCUGGUUAGUACUUGAAUGGAAGACCAGGUGCUGUAGGCG
rnacentral:rRNA from 1 species